rnacentral:rRNA from 1 species
GUCUUUGGCCAUACCACUCUGAGUAUGACCAGUCUCAUCUGAUCUCAAAAGCUAAGCAGGGUCAGGCCUAGUUACUACUUGGAAGGGAGAAAGUUAUUCCUAAAGAUG